AGUGGACGCUGGCGGUAGGCCUAACACAUGCAAGUCGAACGGCAGCACAGUAAGAGCUUGCUCUUACGGGUGGCGAGUGGCGGACGGGUGAGGAAUACAUCGGAAUCUACUUUUUCGUGGGGGAUAACGUAGGGAAACUUACGCUAAUACCGCAUACGACCUACGGGUGAAAGCAGGGGAUCUUCGGACCUUGCGCGAUUGAAUGAGCCGAUGUCGGAUUAGCUAGUUGGCGGGGUAGAGGCCCACCAAGGCGACGAUCCGUAGCUGGUCUGAGAGGAUGAGCGGCCACAGUGGGACGGAGAUACGGCCCAGACUCCUAGGGGAGGAAGCAGGGGGGAAUAGUGCACAAUGGGCGGAAGCCUGAUGAAGCAACGCGGAGUGCGGGAUGACGGCCUUCGGGUUGUAAAACGCUGACGCCUGUGACGAAGCGUGAGUGACGGGAAUGGGUAAAGAAGCAACGGCUAAAGACGUG
rnacentral:rRNA from 1 species